rnacentral:rRNA from 1 species
UGAGCGGCGGACGGGUGAGUAACGCGUGGGUAACCUGCCUCAUACAGGGGGAUAACAGUUGGAAACGGCUGCUAAUACCGCAUAAGCGCACAGUACCGCAUGGUACGGUGUGAAAAACUCCGGUGGUAUGAGAUGGACCCGCGUCUGAUUAGGUAGUUGGUGGGGUAACGGCCUACCAAGCCGACGAUUAGUAGCCGACCUGAGAGGGUGAACGGCCACAUUGGGACUGAGACACGGCCCAG